AGAUUGAACGCUGGCGGCAUGCCUUACACAUGCAAGUCGAACGGCAGCACGGGAGCAAUCCUGGUGGCGAGUGGCGAACGGGUGAGUAAUAUAUCGGAACGUGCCCAGUCGUGGGGGAUAACGCAGCGAAAGCUGUGCUAAUACCGCAUACGAUCUAUGGAUGAAAGCGGGGGGAUCGCAAGACCUCGCGCGAUUGGAGCGGCCGGAUAUCAGAUUAGGUAGUUGGUGGGGUAAAGGGCCUACCAAGCCUGCGAUCUGUAGCUGGUCUGAGAGGACGACCAGCCACACUGGAACUGAGACACGGUCCAGACUCCUACGGGGAGGCAGCAGUGGGGGAAUUUUGGACAAUGGGGCGCGAAGCCUGAUCCCAGCCAAUGCCGCG
rnacentral:rRNA from 1 species